GCAAGUCGAGCGGACAGAAGGGAGCUUGCUCCCGGAUGUUAGCGGCGGACGGGUGAGUAACACGUGGGUAACCUGCCUGUAAGACUGGGAUAACUUCGGGAAACCGGAGCUAAUACCGGAUAGUUCCUUGAACCGCAUGGUUCAAGGAUGAAAGACGGUUUCGGCUGUCACUUACAGAUGGACCCGCGGCGCAUUAGCUAGUUGGUGGGGUAAUGGCUCACCAAGGCGACGAUGCGUAGCCGACCUGAGAGGGUGAUCGGCCACACUGGGACUGAGACACGGCCCAGACUCCUACGGGAGGCAGCAGUAGGGAAUCUUCCGCAAUGGACGAAAGUCUGACGGAGCAACGCCGCGUGAGUGAUGAAGGUUUUCGGAUCGUAAAGCUCUGUUGUUAGGGAAGAACAAGUGCGAGAGUAACUGCUCGCACCUUGACGGUACCUAACCAGAAAGCCACGGCUAACUACGUGCCAGCAGCCGCGGUAAUACGUAGGUGGCAAGCGUUGUCCGGAAUUAUUGGGCGUAAAGGGCUCGCAGGCGGUUUCUUAAGUCUGAUGUGAAAGCCCCCGGCUCAACCGGGGAGGGUCAUUGGAAACUGGGAAACUUGAGUGCAGAAGAGGAGAGUGGAAUUCCACGUGUAGCGGUGAAAUGCGUAGAGAUGUGGAGGAACACCAGUGGCGAAGGCGACUCUCUGGUCUGUAACUGACGCUGAGGAGCGAAAGCGUGGGGAGCGAACAGGAUUAGAUACCCUGGUAGUCCACGCCGUAAACGAUGAGUGCUAAGUGUUAGGGGGUUUCCGCCCCUUAGUGCUGCAGCUAACGCAUUAAGCACUCCGCCUGGGGAGUACGGUCGCAAGACUGAAACUCAAAGGAAUUGACGGGGGCCCGCACAAGCGGUGGAGCAUGUGGUUUAAUUCGAAGCAACGCGAAGAACCUUACCAGGUCUUGACAUCCUCUGACAACCCUAGAGAUAGGGCUUUCCCUUCGGGGACAGAGUGACAGGUGGUGCAUGGUUGUCGUCAGCUCGUGUCGUGAGAUGUUGGGUUAAGUCCCGCAACGAGCGCAACCCUUGAUCUUAGUUGCCAGCAUUCAGUUGGGCACUCUAAGGUGACUGCCGGUGACAAACCGGAGGAAGGUGGGGAUGAC
rnacentral:rRNA from 1 species